GAAUUUCUUUUUAUAUCAAUUAUUUAUUUUCCAUACAAAUUAUAAACAUGUUUUUCAAAUACUGUACAUAUACUGAAUUCUAUUAUAUUUUUAAACCUCUAAUUUAAUGAUAUAUCAUUUCGUUCUUUAUUUACUUGUUAAAUCAACUACUUUGAUCCUCGUUUCGUUUUAUUUAUGAUAAUAUACAGGUAGAUCCCAUUCUUUCUGAUCAUUACUUCAUUUAAUCAUUUUUAUAAUCAAGCUCAAUUCUUUGAUAUGGCAGUUCCAGGAUAUGAAGAAAUAUAAAUUGCAAAUAGAUCACUUUUUGAAUCAAACUCAAGCUCGGGCUGGCCAGUACUUCGAACGUGUGAAGGUGUACAUGUAUCCCUGCACUGAUGGGGGUGGAUGGCUGCAUGGCGAGCAGGUUCAAGCAGGCUAAUCCUUGAUCAAUCUGUA
rnacentral:misc_RNA from 1 species